AUAAAACCCUAACAAAAUCCUAUAGCUCAACAGAAGCAUAGCAAAAUGAAGAGAGUAUCAGCUAAAGUUGAAUCUACAAUCCCAAUCUCUCUCUCCGCCGCAGCAAAAUCCCUCGCCAGGUUUGCUGCAUCAGAUCAUGAAGCUUCACAUGCUGUUUCAUUAUAUCUCCAAAGUGCUGCCGAUUCAUUCAACAAGCUUGUUAAGAUUCAGCAGAAACUCAGUGUGAAAAAGGAGCAUGAUGUCAAAGUUGAAGGGAUUUCAGAAAAGAAUGAAGAUAUCCCAAAUGGGUUCCGAGAAAACAAGAAAAGCAAGAAUCUUGUCAAGGAAGAAAAUCCGGAAGCUGAGCCUAAGACCAAAAAUUCAUCAAAAAUUGAUAAAGUGAAGGGUCAUAAAUUGAUCAAGACUGAACCAAAACUCGAUACAAGGGAAGAAGAGAUGGAAAGAUCCAACAAAAAUGAGCUGGAGUCUGUUAAAAUAGAUAGGGAGCUGGAGUUGAAG
rnacentral:misc_RNA from 1 species